rnacentral:lncRNA from 1 species
GAACAUCUUACGGAUGGCCCAGGGCUCCAAAGGCUCGUUUCCUAAGUGAGAGAGAGCCUGGCUGAAGCUGUAUUACCAUUCAUUCUCCAGCCUCCGAAGUCUCAAAGCAUCACUUCCACCAUACUCUAACUGUCAAGACAAACACAAAGGCCCAGAAAGAAGAAUACACUAUCGAUGUUCCUUUUAAACAAGUAUUUGAGUAAAAGCGAUGUUUCCAAUGUGUGUCAGAAAGUGAAUACUUGUAUAUUUCCGCACGGUUAGAGCUGAGCUUUCCGAGCAAAUUUUACUGGGACCCGGUUGAAAGACAGGUCUUGGAAGUGAAAUGAUGACUGACUAGAUGACAUUACAUGUAAAUGGAAUCAUACAAUAUGUGAUCUUUUGUGACUGGCUUCUUUCACUUAGCAUAACGUUUUCAAGAAACUGCCAGACUGUCUUCUGAAGUGGCUAUAAUAUUUACACUCCCAUCAGCAGUGUAGAAGGGGUCUCACUAUGUUGUCUGGAGUGCUGUGGUGGAGUGGAGUGGCUAUUCACAGCUGAGUUUGCAGAGUAAACCACUACCCUGAAAUCUGGAAAGGCAGGUGCACCCACAGAUCCUCAGCUGAGAUCCAAUUACCUGAAAUAGAAGCUGCCAUUAGGAACACUUAAAAGAGCCUGUUCUGCUGGGACACAGAAUCACUUGCUCCAUCUCAUACAUUGAUGAUGAUUAAUUUGUAUGUGUACCUUCCAAAAAAGAUGGUUGUGUUUGAAUGGAGGCCUUCUGGACAGGAAAAUUGCAAAGUACAAUUAACAUUUGAGUCUGUCUGAGUCAUGAAGAAAUGGAGAUUACUGAAAAUAAUUCAUUUUGGUAUCUUCUUACAUCCUGAGAGACUAAUCUUUCCAAGUUCAUCUGAGGCUCCUCUUCUCCAUGACAACCUCAUCCAGGGAUUUCUUCCUGUCCUGGUGUUUUAUGACAUGUGGAAGGGGACUGUAGCAGGUGAUCUCCAAAGUCUCUGGAGACUUACUAAUGUGCAUCCUCAUCUCGCUUGUAAGGAUAAUAGCCUUCCUCCAAACCUCACACACUUUUGGAGGAGAUCACUUUUUUUAAAGUGCAUGGAAAUGUUUUGAAACAGUGAAAUCUAUAAUGAUAGGUUUCAUAAUUCUAACAUCCACACCAUAUGAAUCACAUCCUUCCUGAGAUAAUGAGCACACAAUUGCCUGGAUACCUGAAGGAAUGGAGACAGCGGCAGAAAACACUGCAGAGAGGUGGAAACAUCCGUUAAUAUUUUAAAAUCCCAUUACUGCUACCAACAAUAAUAAUGGAUGCAUAGAAAUAGAUCUGGAUUAGCUGAGCUUGAAACAGUCCAUCUCACACACACACAAAAGAAUUUCAGAUACAGUGAACCCACAUGUUGAAGCUUUCUAGUAUAAUAAAAAUUUCAACUGUUCUGUUGAAUCAUCUGCCUGAUUGGAGGCUACAGAAAAGAUGUCAUCUUAGGAGUGCUUGCUCUGAGUGAGGCUCAUCUUCAAAUCUGAAUGACCACAAGGAGAUUUGAUUAUACAUGUGAACACCUCAGAAGGCACAGCCCACCCAGAAGGCAGACAGGUCAGGCUGCUUUUUCUUCAUUGCUUGGAUUCAAUCCUCCGGGCGGCUCAGGCUCAAACAUAACUUAAGCAUGAUUAAACUUUAGAAGAAGCUGCCAGGAAGACUGUGAAAUCUUCAUGCCCAAGGAUCCCUAAAAUUAGGAGCAACAACCACUUGGCUCAGACGGUUUAUGGAGGCAAAGGUUUGGAUGGGAUUAGAGAUUUCUAAAUGUGAGUUCGUGUCCUCUGCCAGACCACCUUACUUCCACCAUUCCUCAGCAAAUCAAGAAAAACAGGAGAAAAGACAUGCCUUUCCAUAAGUUAAAUCUAUUCUGUUUUAAUUCUAUAUUAUAUCUGCUGUACAACUUCUUUUGUUUGUAACACCAUAUUGUUGCUAGUAACUGGAAAUUAAUUUUCACAUGCCUCAGCUUAGAAAAAUAAAAAGCAGCCCUGCA